CUUCUCCCAGAUCUCGGGGGACACCCUCCUUGUGCCACGUGGCGCGGGAGCGGACGGAGAGCCAGGUGCUGGACGAGCCAGCACUUAACCCAAGGCAGAGUACCCAGAGAUAGCAAGUUCCCAGAGAUCGCUUGUGGAUGAGUGGAUUCAGUGUGGAAUGUUUGCCAAAUGAAGACCUGGGUGCAGUUUGAACAGUGUUAUGAAACAGCAAAGGAGGGAGCAGCUGACUGCCUAGGGGCCACGACUAGGACCAGAGGACAAAAGGGCAGAACUAGGACCAGUGGACAG
ensembl:lncRNA